AGAGUUUGAUCCUGGCUCAGGAUGAACGCUAGCGGGAGGCUUAACACAUGCAAGUCGAGGGGCAGCACGAGGUAGCAAUACUUUGGUGGCGACCGGCGCACGGGUGAGUAACGCGUAUGCAACCUACCCUGUACAGGGGGAUAGCCCGGAGAAAUUCGGAUUAAUACCCCAUAAAGAUAUCGAGAGGCAUCUUUUGAUAUUUAAAGAUUUAUCGGUACGGGAUGGGCAUGCGUAACAUUAGCUAGUUGGUAGGGUAACGGCCUACCAAGGCAACGAUGUUUAGGGGUCCUGAGAGGGUGAUCCCCCACACUGGUACUGAGACACGGACCAGACUCCUACGGGAGGCAGCAGUGAGGAAUAUUGGUCAAUGGGCGUAAGCCUGAACCAGCCAUCCCGCGUGCAGGAAGACGGCGCUAUGCGUUGUAAACUGCUUUUCCAGGGGAAGAAAACUCUCGUCGUGACAAGACUUGCCGGUACCUUGGGAAUAAGCAUCGGCUAACUCCGUGCCAGCAGCCGCGGUAAUACGGAGGAUGCGAGCGUUAUCCGGAUUUAUUGGGUUUAAAGGGUGCGUAGGCGGAUUAAUAAGUCAGUGGUGAAAACCUUCAGCUUAACUGGAGAACUGCCAUUGAUACUGUUAGUCUUGAGUACGGUCAAGGUAGGCGGAAUGUGUAAUGUAGCGGUGAAAUGCUUAGAUAUUACACAGAACACCGAUUGCGAAAGGCAGCUUACUGGGCCAUUACUGACGCUGAUGCACGAAAGCGUGGGGAGCGAACAGGAUUAGAUACCCCUGGUAGUCCACG
rnacentral:rRNA from 1 species